rnacentral:rRNA from 1 species
UACGGAGGGUGCAAGCGUUUAUCCGGAUUCACUGGGUUUAAAGGGUGCGUAGGUGGGUUGGUAAGUCAGUGGUGAAAUCUCCAGGCUUAACUUGGAAACUGCCAUUGAUACUAUCAAUCUUGAAUACCGUGGAGGUCAGCGGAAUAUGUCAUGUAGCGGUGAAAUGCUUAGAUAUGACAUAGAACACCAAAUUGCGAAGGCAGCUGGCUACACGAAUAUUGACACUGAUGCACGAAAGCGUGGGGAUCAAACAGG